rnacentral:lncRNA from 1 species
UUAACAUGAUUGAAUAUUAUGCUUUUAUAUUUCUGUUUGAUUAAUGAUAACUCUCUUGUAUGAACUUAAUUCUUUUUUAGAUUAUUUGAAUCUCUAGGAGCGGUAUUUGAGGAAGAAAACCGGUUAUUAACUUCCUCUUUAGGUAUUAACUCACUUGUUUUGUGGAUUAUUUUAAUCUCUGGGUGUAAAAAUUUGAGGAAGAAAACUGGUUAUCUACUUUCUGAGUUUUGUUUGUUUUUAUUACGAAACAGAUAGUUGUUAUUACGGCACUUGGGGAUCAAAAUUGUACAGAGAAAGGAAUAAAGAAACCUGUUAUACAUUCUAAUACAAAACAUAUCCUAGAAGUGUGCCUAUAUACAAUUGUUUUUCUUUAUCUGCCUUGUAUUCUUC